AUUGAACGCUGGCGGAAUGCUUUACACAUGCAAGUCGGGCGGCAGCGCGGGGGCAACCCUGGCGGCGAGCGGCGAACGGGUGAGUAAUGCAUCGGAACGUACCCAGUCGUGGGGGAUAACUGUCCGAAAGGACAGCUAAUACCGCAUACGACCUGAGGGUGAAAGCGGGGGAUCGCAAGACCUCGCGCGAUUGGAGCGGCCGAUGUCGGAUUGGCUAGUUGGUGGGGUAAAGGCCCACCAAGGCGACGAUCUGUAGCUGGUAUGAGAGGACGAUCCGCCACACUGGGACUGAGACACGGACCCGGCUCCUACGGGAGGCAGCAGUGGGGAAUAGUGGAGAAUGGGGGGAACCCUGAUCCAGCCAUGCCGAGUGUGUGAAGAGGGCCUUAUGGUUGUAAAGCACUUUAAGCGAGGAGGAGGCUCUUUUGGUUAAUACCCAAGAUGAGUGGACGUUACUCGCAGAAUAAGCACCGGCUAACUCUGUGCCAGCCGCCGCCGUAA
rnacentral:rRNA from 1 species